UACGUAGGGGGCAAGCGUUGUCCGGAUUUAUUGGGCGUAAAGAGCGUGUAGGCGGCCAGGUAGGUCCGCUGUGAAAACUCGAGGCUCAACCUCGAGAGGUCGGUGGAAACCGUAUGGCUAGAGUCCGGAAGAGGAGAGUGGAAUUCCCGGUGUAGCGGUGAAAUGCGCAGAUAUCGGGAAGAACACCCGUGGCGAAGGCGGCUCUCUGGGACGGUACUGACGCUGAGACGCGAAAGCGUGGGGAGCGAACAGG
rnacentral:rRNA from 1 species